UAUUAUUGGCAGCCUAUACAUGCAGUCGACGAGCUUCCGUUGAAUGACGUGCUUGCACUGAUUUCAACAAUGAAGCGAGUGGCGAACUGGUGAGUAACACGUGGGAAAUCUGCCCAGAAGCAGGGGAUAACACUUGGAAACAGGUGCUAAUACCGUAUAACAACAAAAUCCGCAUGGAUUUUGUUUGAAAGGUGGCUUCGGCUAUCACUUCUGGAUGAUCCCGCGGCGUAUUAGUUAGUUGGUGAGGUAAAGGCCCACCAAGACGAUGAUACGUAGCCGACCUGAGAGGGUAAUCGGCCACAUUGGGACUGAGACACGGCCCAAACUCCUACGGGAGGCAGCAGUAGGGAAUCUUCCACAAUGGACGAAAGUCUGAUGGAGCAAUGCCGCGUGAGUGAAGAAGGGUUUCGGCUCGUAAAACUCUGUUGUUAAAGAAGAACACCUUUGAGAGUAACUGUUCAAGGGUUGACGGUAUUUAACCAGAAAGCCACGGCUAACUACGUGCCAGCAGCCGCGGUAAUACGUAGGUGGCAAGCGUUGUCCGGAUUUAUUGGGCGUAAAGCGAGCGCAGGCGGUUUUUUAAGUCUGAUGUGAAAGCCUUCGGCUUAACCGGAGAAGUGCAUCGGAAACUGGGAGACUUGAGUGCAGAAGAGGACAGUGGAACUCCAUGUGUAGCGGUGGAAUGCGUAGAUAUAUGGAAGAACACCAGUGGCGAAGGCGGCUGUCUAGUCUGUAACUGACGCUGAGGCUCGAAAGCAUGGUAGCGAACAGGAUUAGAUACCCUGGUAGUCCAUGCCGUAAACGAUGAGUGCUAAGUGUUGGAGGGUUUCCGCCCUUCAGUGCUGCAGCUAACGCAUUAAGCACUCCGCCUGGGGAGUACGACCGCAAGGUUGAAACUCAAAGGAAUUGACGGGGGCCCGCACAAGCGGUGGAGCAUGUGGUUUAAUUCGAAGCUACGCGAAGAACCUUACCAGGUCUUGACAUCUUCUGCCAAUCUUAGAGAUAAGACGUUCCCUUCGGGGAAAGAAUGACAGGUGGUGCAUGAUGUCGUCAGCUCGUGUCGUGAGAUGUGGUAGUCCCGCACGAGCGCAACCCUUAUUAUCAGUGCAGCAUUCAGUUGGCACCUCUGGGGGAGAACUGCCGGGUGGAACAA
rnacentral:rRNA from 1 species